rnacentral:rRNA from 1 species
GUUUACGUACAUGCCACCCUGAAUGUGUCCGAUCUCGUCUGAUCUUGGAAGCUAAGCAGGGUCGGGCCUGGUUAGUACUUGGAUGAGAGACCACCUAGGAAUACUGGGUGCUGUAGGCG